AUUGAACGCUGGCGGCAUGCUUUACACAUGCAAGUCGAACGGCAGCGCGGGCUUCGGCCUGGCGGCGAGUGGCGAACGGGUGAGUAAUACAUCGGAACGUGCCCAGUAGUGGGGGAUAGCUCGGCGAAAGCCGGAUUAAUACCGCAUACGACCUGAGGGUGAAAGCGGGGGAUCUUCGGACCUCGCGCUAUUGAAGCGGCCGAUGGCAGAUUAGCGAGUUGGUGGGGUAAAGGCCUACCAAGGCGACGAGCUGUAGCUGGUCUGAGAGGACGACCAGCCACACUGGGACUGAGACACGGCCCAGACUCCUACGGGAGGCAGCAGUGGGGAAUUUUGGACAAUGGGCGAAAGCCUGAUCCAGCAAUGCCGCGUGUGUGAUGAAGGCCUUCGGGUUGUAAAGCACUUUUGGCGGGAACGAAAAGGACUGUGCCAAUACCACGGUUCGAUGACGGUACCCGCAGAAUAAGCACCGGCUAACUACGUG
rnacentral:rRNA from 1 species